rnacentral:rRNA from 1 species
UCCCUUAGGUCAGCGGCGGACGGGUGAGUAACACGUGGGUAACCUGCCUGUAAGACUGGGAUAACUCCGGGAAACCGGGGCUAAUACCGGAUGCUUGAUUGAACCGCAUGGUUCAAUCAUAAAAGGUGGCUUUUAGCUACCACUUACAGAUGGACCCGCGGCGCAUUAGCUAGUUGGUGAGGUAACGGCUCACCAAGGCGACGAUGCGUAGCCGACCUGAGAGGGUGAUCGGCCACACUGGGACUGAGACACGGCCCAGACUCCUACGGGAGGCAGCAGUAGGGAAUCUUCCGCAAUGGACGAAAGUCUGACGGAGCAACGCCGCGUGAGUGAUGAAGGUUUUCGGAUCGUAAAACUCUGUUGUUAGGGAAGAACAAGUACCGUUCGAAUAGGGCGGUACCUUGACGGUACCUAACCAGAAAGCCACGGCUAACUACGUGCCAGCAGCCGCGGUAAUACGUAGGUGGCAAGCGUUGUCCGGAAUUAUUGGGCGUAAAGCGCGCGCAGGCGGUUUCUUAAGUCUGAUGUGAAAGCCCCCGGCUCAACCGGGGAGGGUCAUUGGAAACUGGGGAACUUGAGUGCAGAAGAGGAGAGUGGAAUUCCACGUGUAGCGGU